CAGAAGAUUCUUGGAUUGGGAAGAGGAAAUUCCAUCUGGGAACGACAAAUUUGGGGUGGGAGGAAUUUAUUUCCAACAGAACCAGAGCAGGAGAAAAAGAGCCCAAAAUCCAACUUUGCCCUCCCCCAAUUCCCGGCAUUCCCUCGGUCCCUCCGGAGUUUUCCGUGAUUUCUCAACUUUGGGAAGAGUUUUCCGUGGAUUUCUUGGUCAUGGGAAAGAAUUUUCCAUGGAUUUCUUGGUCAUGGGAGAGUUUUCCAUGGAUUUCUUGGCUAUGGGAAGAGUUUUCCAUGGAUUUCUCCAAGGUGAAUCCAUCCCACAAUGAGUUUUCCAUGGAUUUCUCAGCUACGGAAUUUUCCAUGGAUUUCUUGGCCAUGGGAGAGUUUUCCAUGGAUUUCUUGGCUAUGGGAAAGAAUUUUCCAUGGAUUUCUCAGCUAUGGGAAGAGUUUUCCAUGGAUUUCUCCAAGGUGAAUCCAUCCCACAGUGAGUUUUCCAUGGAUUUCUCAACUUUGGGAAGAGUUUUCCAUGGAUUUCUUGGUUAU
rnacentral:lncRNA from 1 species